rnacentral:ncRNA from 1 species
UUCAGGUUCUGAACAGAUGAAAAGGGAACGCUGUGAAAAUCAGCGGCUAUACCCGUAGCUGUGAGUUCCAUUUUGCGCUUUCUCAUCAAAGUCACUGACUUUUUAGGGGUCGGGAAGGCAGAGAAAAGCGGGAACGAGCCAGAAGACCUGCCUGAGUCCG